AAUUCUUCUAAUGAAGGAGUCAGAAAACGUGGAAGACUACUGCAUAUACUGCAACCUCGUCAACUGUGAAAAGGAAAGUGAGGAUUGCACGAUGGUACAGUGUGAUUCUUGCAAGAGAUGGGCACAUAUGCCCAGCAUUACAGAAGGAACCAAUCAAGACUACCUGACUGAUGACAAGAAAGAGAACAACUGCAAAAAAUGUGCAUAGUUCACUUCUUUACCCCCCCCAAAAAUUGUUUAAAUGCCUCUUGUUCAAAACAUAAU